AUGGUAAAGCUGUGGAGCGCUUUCUUGGAUUUACCGAUGUAAGGAGGAUAGAACUGCGGCUAGACUGAAACAAGAAGUCGGUAAAACCCUGAACGAGUACGGAUGCCGCGAACCUCACCCCCAGCGCUUGCCUAUUAAAUUCGGUCACCGCACGCCACUGGUAUACGUUUAAAAGCAGUGACGGAAGUUUACCUAUGACGUAUGGCGCCAAGUUUACGAUGCGUGGAUUUCCAAAGAAAAUUCAUACCACAGUCCACAGAAAACACGAAACAGAAAUUUAUUGAAUAAUGUUCGUGUUAAGUAGACGGAUCCGAUCUUACUGCACGGCGUCUUGUUUCAGCAGCUCAUCGCGACAUUUUUUAAAGUUUUCAACAACAAUGCCAACCAACAUGUUCAUUACAAUGAAACCAGCAAUCAGAAGAAAUGCAAUAAAAUACAAAACAUUCCACUUGGCGUAAUCACGUUUUGGUUGUUUGUCAACAUCAACUGCAUCAAUGCCUGAGUACAAUAU